GAUAAACGCUGGCGGCGCACAUAAGACAUGCAAGUCGAACGGAAGUCGUUACAAAAUGAAUAGAAGAUUUAUCUGAUUGAAGUUUUGUAACAAUGGCUUUAGUGGCGGACUGGUGAGUAACGCGUAAGCAAUCUACCUAUUAGAGGGGAAUAACAAUGAGAAAUCAUUGCUAAUACCGCAUGAGACCACAGGACCGCAUGGUCAAGGGGUCAAAGAUUUAUCGGUGAUAGAUGGGCUCGCGUCUGAUUAGCUGGUUGGUGAGGUAACGGCCCACCAAGGCGACGAUCAAUAGCCGACCUGAGAGGGUGAUCGGCCACAUUGGAACUGAGAAACGGUCCAA
rnacentral:rRNA from 1 species